AUGGGCAAUAACACACAUGAGACAGAGCUUGAUGAGCUAAAGGAUAUUGGAUUGCAGAUUAUAGCAAAUUGUGGUGGUUUGCCACUUGCUAUUAAAGUGAUGGGAGGAGUGUUGAGUGUGAGACAUGUGCAACGGCCUGACUGGAUGAGGGUUCUGAAUGAUUUUAUUCCAAGUUGUGAACUGCCCGAGGUGAUAAACCACUCAGUGUACUUAAGCUAUGAAGAUCUAGCUCCUUGUUUGAAGCAGUGCUUCCUGCACUACUCACUUCUCCCUACAAACGCAGUGUUCUAUGAGAAUGACAUUGUUGGCAUGUGGAUCAGCGAAGGUUUUAUUCAUGGAAACUCACAUGAUUAUUGGAGAGAUUCAGAAGAUUUAGGAAGUGAGUACUACAGGGAGCUUAUACUGAGGAACCUUAUAGAGCCGGAUGCAAGGGAUGAGGCACUAGUGGCUCACAAUGGAGAUAUGUAUGGUUAUCUUAGUUCAAGAAAGUUCUAUCAGUUGUCUCUAGAAAGCAAAGAAUUGGAGUCAGAUAUGUUAGUCUGGAGUCUUGUACAAGAACAGACAUCAUUGCGAACGCUAGUAUCAAUUGGCCAGAUAAAGCUUAAACCUGGUGAUUCUUUGAUGGCCUUUCCAAGUCCACGGACCCUACACAUAGAAUCCACAAAUGCUGCUGUAUUGGUUGAAUCUUUGUGUCAACUUAAGCACCUGAGGUAUUUGUCUGUAGCACACACUGAUGUAUCUAGUCUUCCAGAAAACAUCAACACGAUGAAAUUCUUGCAGCAUAUUAACCUCCAGGGUUGUGAAAGUUUUGAGAAACUUCCUGAUAGCAUUAUAAAGCUAGAGCAGCUGAGGUAUCUAAACCUUAAUGACACAGGUAUAAAUGUUAUACCUCGGGGUUUUUGUAUUCUAACAAAUUUGAGUAAACUAUAUGGGUUUCCAGCCUACAUGGAUGGCAACUGGUGUAGUCUGGAAGAGUUGUGGCCUCUUUCCCGGUUAAAAGAAAUUGAAUUGAAGGGUUUGGACAAUGUAGCUGCUGGUUUGUUUGCUGAAAGCGCCAGCCUUUAUCAGAUGCGUCUUAGCUACUUGAAGUUAGAGUGCAGCACCAGAGUGGGAGGUGGUGGGUUGGUUAUAGAAGGAAGAAGUGUAUUCCAGGAUGAAGAAAACCAACGAAUCGAGGCGGUGUUUGAUGAGCUCCACCCACCACAGCGCCUAAGUACUCUUGUCAUCCAAGGAUACUUUGGUCUGCAGCUCCCAGUUUGGAUGAGAACAGAGGACCGUCUUGAGUGCUUGGUUGUUCUGACGAUGGAAGAUUUGGCUUGCUGCACCCAGCUUCCAUGUUGCUUGAGUCAGCUUCCCUAUUUGGAGGUCCUUAAGAUUCAACGAGCCCCAGCCAUCAGCUGUGUGGGGCCUGAAUUCUUAGGAGUCUCCGAACAUCAUGACCAGACGGCGAUUAUGUUUCCUCGUUUGCAUGAACUGGUCUUCUCUGGAAUGGUGAAGUGGGAGGAGUGGGUGUGGGAAAAACAGUUAAAUGCCAUGCCCGCCCUGGAGGAGCUUCUGGUCGAUAACUGCAAACUGAGGAGCUUUCCUCCUGGCCUUGCCUUCCGUGCAAGGGCUUUGAGACGAUUGGUCGUUACUGCGGCUCAAAACCUGAACUCUCUUGAUAGUUUUGCUUCUGUUGUUGAGCUUGACGUGUAUUUCAGUCCAACGCUGACAAGUAUAGCUAAUCUCCAUCAACUGCAAAAGCUUACAAUCAUUUUCUGCCCGAAGCUCGAGAAAUUGAUUGGUGUUCCUGCAAUCCGAAGACUAGUGCUGGAGGAUUAUGACAUGGAAACACUCCCGAGAUACCUUCAAGAUGUAGGGAACCUGAGCCUUUUGCAGCUAGACUGCAGCCUAGAGCUUCUCACGUCCAUAGCCAUGGGGCAACCUGGACCAGAGUGGAAAAAGUACAGCCAUGUCAAGCAUGUCGAGGCAUAUGCGCAUGAUGGAGACAAUCAAAGGGAAUGGUAUGUGUUAUACACAAAAGAUCCCUACAAAUUCGAGACAAACAUCAACCAACGCUCUUCCAAACUGGCAGGUAACUAA
rnacentral:rRNA from 1 species